rnacentral:rRNA from 1 species
UGGGGAAUUUUGGACAAUGGGCGCAAGCCUGAUCCAGCAAUGCCGCGUGCAGGAUGAAGGCCUUCGGGUUGUAAACUGCUUUUGUACGGAACGAAACGGCUCUGUCUAAUACAUGGGGCUAAUGACGGUACCGUAAGAAUAAGCACCGGCUAACUACGUGCCAGCAGCCGCGGUAAUACGUAGGGUGCAAGCGUUAAUCGGAAUUACUGGGCGUAAAGCGUGCGCAGGCGGUUAUGCAAGACAGAGGUGAAAUCCCCGGGCUCAACCUGGGAACUGCCUUUGUGACUGCAUAGCUAGAGUACGGCAGAGGGGGAUGGAAUUCCGCGUGUAGCAGUGAAAUGCUUAGAUAUUACAUGGAAUACCAAUUGCGAAGGCAGGUUACUACUUGUGGAUUGACGCUGAUGGACGAAAGCGUGGGGAGCGAACA